rnacentral:rRNA from 1 species
GUAACGCGUGAGAAUCUGCCCUUAGGAGGGGGACAACAGUUGGAAACGACUGCUAAUACCCCAUAUGCCGAGAGGUGAAACAUUAAUGGCCUGAGGAGGAGCUCGCGUCUGAUUAGCUAGUUGGUGGGGUAACGGCCUACCAAGGCGACGAUCAGUAGCUGGUCUGAGAGGAUGAUCAGCCACACUGGGACUGAGACACGGCCCAGACUCCUACGGGAGGCAGCAGUGGGGAAUUUUCCGCAAUGGGCGAAAGCCUGACGGAGCAAGACCGCGUGAGGGAGGAAGGUCUGUGGAUUGUAAACCUCUUUUCUCAGGGAAGAAGAACUGACGGUACCUGAGGAAUCAGCAUCGGCUAACUCCGUGCCAGCAGCCGCGGUAAUACGGAGGAUGCAAGCGUUAUCCGGAAUUAUUGGGCGUAAAGCGUCCGUAGGUGGCUAAGCAAGUCUGCUGUUAAAGAGCGGAGCUAAACUCCGUAAAGGCGGUGGAAACUGCAUAGCUAGAGUGUGGUAGGGGUAGAGGGAAUUCCCAGUGUAGCGGUGAAAUGCGUAGAUAUUGGGAAGAACACCGGUGGCGAAGGCGCUCUACUGGCCCACAAACUGACACUG